rnacentral:misc_RNA from 1 species
UACGGAGGGUGCAAGCGUUGUCCGGAAUCAUUGGGUGUAAAGGGUGCGCAGGCGGGCGCCUAGGGCGGAGGUGAAAUCUUGCCGCUUAACGGUAAAAUGGCCUCCGAUACUGGGUGUCUUGAAUCUUACAGAGGUCGGUGGAAUUCGUGGUGUAGCGGUGAAAUGCAUCGAUAUCACGAAGAACACCAGUGGCGAAGGCGGCCGGGUGGGUCAGAAUUGACGCUGAGGUACGAGAGCGUGGGGAGCGAACAGG